ensembl:snRNA U6 U6 spliceosomal RNA
AUGCUCGCUUCAGCAGCACAUAGGCUAAAAUUGGAAUGAUACAGAAAAGAUUAGCAUGGCCGUAUUUGCAAGGAUGAUAGGCAAAUUCAUGAAGUGUUCCCUAUUUUU